GCCGAACACUGCAGAGCAUCUUAACAAAUUUGGAGACAGGAAGAGAAAACCACAGACUCUAACAGCAAAGCUGUCCUGGAAAACUGCACCUGGUCCUUGGUCUGACAAGAGCUCAGUGCGUGCUGUGCGCCCCCUGCUGUCCUGAGCGCCCCUGCAGGGAGGUUUGUGUCUGGGCUCACACUGACGUCCCCUCACUGUGUCUCUCGCACAGUAAUACACGGCCGUGUCCUCGGUUCUCAGGAUGCUCAGUGUUAGUGAAACUUGGCUCUUGGAAGUGUCCCUGCUGAUGCGCACUCGGGACUGAAGGGCUGAGUUAUAAUAUGUGCUUCCACUAUCCCAUAUAGCACCAAUCCACUCCAGCCCCUUCGCUGGAGCCUGACGGACCCAGUGCAUAUGAUAACUGGUUAAGGAGAAUCCAGAGAUGGCACAAGUGAGGGACAGGGUCUCUGAAGGCUUCACCAGGCCAGGUCCUGACUCCUGCAGCUGCACCAGAGACAAGACACUCACAGCAGGGCGCUGCCACCAGGCAGAGGAGCAGAGCCAAGAACUCCAUGCUGGAUGAAGGCUCCUGUGGGAGGAGACUGGGGCUGCUCAGGCAGGACUGGCUUUUCAUCCUGAGCCUGGGGCUGCUUUGCAUGGGGGAG
rnacentral:lncRNA from 1 species